rnacentral:rRNA from 1 species
GAUGAACGCUAGCGGCAGGCUUAAUACAUGCAAGUCGAGGGACAGUACAGGUAGCAAUACUGGGUGGUAACCGGCAAACGGGUGCGGAACACGUACACAACCUUCCUUUAAGUGGGGGAUAGCCCAGAGAAAUUUGGAUUAAUACCCCGUAAUAUAGUUGAAUGGCAUCAUUUGAUUAUUAUAGCUACGGCGCUUAAUGAUGGGUGUGCGGCUGAUAGAUAGUUGGCGGGGUAACGGCCCACCAAGUCUACGAUCAGUAGCUGAUGUGAGAGCAUGAUCAGCCACACGGGCACUGAGACACGGGCCCGACUCCUACGGGAGGCAGCAGUAAGAAAUAUUGGUCAAUGGACGCAAGUCUGAACCAGCCAUGCCGCGUGAAGGAUUAAGGUCCUCUGGAUUGUAAACUUCUUUUAUUUGGGACGAAAAAGGGCCUUUCUAGGUCAACUGACGGUACCAGAUGAAUAAGCACCGGCUAACUCCGUGCCAGCCGCCGCGGUAAGAC